rnacentral:lncRNA from 1 species
GCUAACCUAACAGCUUCAAAGGCUGCUCUUCGUACCCAAAGGCUAUGAUCUUAUUUUCACAUUGUCACUAAUCACUAUCAGCAUCAUUUGAGGUGCCCUUUCCUGAAACCAAUAUGUCCGAUGAGGAAAGAAUUAUAAUAUUCAAGCAGAAAAUAAUUUACACUGCUUAAUUAAUUAUUCAAAACUAUAAUGAAAAAGGACAGGAAAAUGUUUGUGUUGGAAAGAGCACAGCCCUUGAUAAAUGCAUGCACAGGGUAAUUAGUGUGAUGUCUUCCAGGCAUACCAGUUUGAUGCUCUUUGGUAAUUUCUUGGUUAUAGACAAGGAAGAACAUGGCCCAGUGCUUCAUAAUUCUUGUGGCUACCUCGAAAAACCCUUCUCU